ensembl:lncRNA
CCGGGAUUUGUUUACAUCUGUUAAUCCCUGUAAAUCCUGCCUGAUCAAUCCUCCUCUGAACUGCUGGCCGUCAAACUCCAUGGAUCUACACCCACUGUUACUGCGGUACUGUACAGACCGCCUCAGCCUUCAAAUGAACUUUCAACUAUACUAACGACUCUGAAUACAGUGUCUCCGAAUGGGAUCCUGAUGGGUGAGUUUAUCCUCCGUUUGGAUAAUUCUUCCAACUUAUUUAGAAGACACUUCAUGGCCAUGCUUGAUCGCUCUGGUAUUACCCAAUAUGUAGACUUUUCAACCCACAACAAAGGCCAUAUUUUAGAUCAGGUCUGCUGCACCGGUAUUCCACCGUGCCACAUCAAUGCUGCUGAACUACCCAUCUCACACCACAAAGCUGUGCUGUUUGACACCUACCUGCCUGUCAUCAAAUCAAAACUUCUGCGCGUCAUGUCAUAUCACAACGUUAACAAGGUCAAGCCAGAGGAGUUGACCGCUCUAAUGAACUCCUAUCCCUGCCCUGCUCCUAAUGCUUCAUUAGGGGAUCUAGUGAGCCAUUACAACUCCUGCUUGUCCUCUGCACUUAACAGUCUUUGUUCACACUGCACCUUGGAAUACAUCUAAACUCCACCAGAUGAAGUCCAUGGGUCGGCAUCUGGAGCGGUUAUGAAAAAGGACUGGUCUUGUGGUACAUAAAGAGAUGUAUUCUGAUCACGUACUUCAGUACAAAAAUACCCUUUCUGUUGCAAAAACAUCACAUGGUGCAAAUAUCAUCAGUGCGGGAGAAGGAAACACCAGAGAUCUUUUUUCCACCGUGAAUGGACGACUUAAACCAUCUGAUAACUCCAUUCAUCUGAAUCUCUCUGAUGAACGCCGUUCGGCCUUCCUGAAAAUUUUCCACUCUAGCAUUCAUCAAAGACUGACUUGUUCGAUUAAUGAGCGAAAGAAAUCAUGCUCGCCGAACCCUACGGGCCCCCCACAUACCAGUGCAUUUAGUCAUUUCAGUCUCCCAGUGGAAAGUAGCAUCUACACGAAUGACUUGAAUCUCAUCAUGAAGUGCAAUUCCUCCACCUGUCAACUGGAUCCUGCUCCAACCAACUUACUUAAAGUGUGCCUGCCCUCUAUCUCACCUCUGAUCCCUCGAUAAUGAACACUUCUCUCACCACUGGUGUGGUCCCCUCUUCAUUAAAAACUGCCAUUGUCAGGCCAACACUGAAAAAGCCAGGACUGGAUCCUGAUGACUUCAAUAAUUAUUGACCUGUCUCUAACCUACCAUUUAUAUCAAAAGUCCUUGAGAGGAUAGUGGCAUCUCAACUCCAGGAGCACCUAAAAAAACAAUAAUCUGUCUGAGCCUUCCAAUCUGGAUUUCACCCUAAACACAGCUCAGAAACUGCCAUGGUCAAGAUAACCAAUGACCUCCUUUGCGUAGCUGAUUCUGGACUACUCUCCAUUCUCAUCCUCCUAGACCUCAGUGUAGCCUUUAACACCAUCUCUCAUCAGAUUCUUCUAGAAUGUCUAGCUAACGCCAGAGUCCUUGGCACUUUACAUGAGUGGUUCACAUCCUACCUCACUGAAAGGACACAAUUUGUCCAAAUAAUGAGCUGCAAGUCAGAGAGCUCUGCUGUCACCAAGGGGGUUCCCCAGGGCUCAGCUUUGGGGUCUCUCCUAUUUAUCAUCUAUCUCCUCCCACUUGGCAAUAUCCUUCGACAUCAUGGUGUUCACUUUCACUGCUAUGCUAACAAUACUCAGAGCCACUAACCUCUUGGAGAACUACACCCCUCCGGUACUUACUGCGAUCCGCCUCAGCAGGUCUACUAGCAAUACCAGACAUGAACUUUAGCACCAUGGGUGUAAGAGCCUUUAGUCACACUGCCCCUAAGCUCUGGAAUUCACUUCUCCAUCACAUCCACAACUGUGAAUCCAGCUCAAGAUUCAAAAGUUCUUUAAAAUCUCAUCUCUUCUCUGUGACAUGGUUACAUAAUACUUCAUUAUAAUAUGUGUUUCAUGUAUAAUAUUGUAUUCAUAAGAGUGAUGCCACUGGAUGGAAGGGGCCAUUCAUCCUUUCACCAUUUUCACUGAGUACCUCAAAAAUGCAAAGUUUUUGAACCUUCACCAGGCCCAUCGUUUAUUGUUCUUUGCUUGGUUUCAUUUCACCCUCUCCUACCGACCCGGCUCCAAAAACACCAAGGCUGAUGCCUUAUCAUGCAUACACGGAGCCAGCCAUCGUAGGAGCAAUGAGGAACUCAUUCUUCCUCCAUUGUGCUUCAGGGGAGCUAUCACCUGGAAACUGGACCGAUCAAUCACUCUCACCCCCUCACAGUAGGUUCCUCAUUCAUGUCCCCUGAACAAAUUAUUUGUUCCACCCAAUCUACGAACUCAACUUAUGAAGCUUAGCGUACUUACCAUCUGCUAUAGCACAGGUACUGGUGGCCCAACAUGCUCACAGAUGUGCACCACACUGUCUUCUCCUGUUCCGCCUGGACCCAAGUUAAAGUUCCCUGAACUCUACCAGAGUUUCUGCUAUGGGCUGAGUACUCUUUACAACACACAGCCACCCAGCUCACCCCCUUUCAGUGUGUACUGAGAUACCAGCCCUAGCUGUUUCACUGGAACGCUAACCUGACCGAUUCACCAGCAGUGGAUGACUGGUUUCAAAGAAGUCAACAGGUGUGGGAAAGUAUCCAUCCACAUCUGGAACAAGUAGCCAACUCUAAUAAAGAAAAUGCCAACUGGCACCGAGGAGACAACCCCCACUACCAACUCAGCGACACGGUCUGGCUAGCUACCAAGGACUUCGGUCAACCCGAAGCAUACAAGAAACUAAGCCCCAGGUACAGCAACCCUUUUAAAACCCUGAAGCAAACAAAUGAGGUCACCUAUAAAGUAAAUCAUUCAGGUUGACUCCUUCCAUGAACUGAACUUCCCAGAACACACCACAGUCUACCAAGAUGGCCACCAUGGAUUAAAAUCCAUGAAAUCCGAGUUUUUUCGGACUCCGAUCGUUUUCUGGUUUUGCUAUGAUGUACUGUUUGCUAAUCGCCUGUACCUUUGCCUAUUUUUUGACCUUGAACCUGUCGCACAUUUGGGAACGGUCUGCUUUUUGUUAUUAAACUGCCUCACAUCCAUCUCAGUCUCUCGGUUGUGACAGCUGCCCUGUGAUGCAGCAUGAGCAGCGAUUCGAAAAGGUGUGGUUGGCUGCCUUCACAUCUCUCAAAGGAAGCAUGUGUCAGCAUUCUCCCUCCCCGAUUGGUAGCUCUCGUAUGAUAGCCGAUAAGUGAUCAGUUGGGGAGAAAAGCUGCAUAUUUGUCUUUUAAAUGUGUGUGUAAUAGUUUGCCCCAAAUCAUUCCUUAUUAUGCGAUGAGAUUUCAUGCCUCAAUCACUCACCGAAUAUUACCAUCAGCUGCCUAAUCAGUUCCCAUCUAAUCAGUUAAAAAAGUUUCUGUCCUUCAGUUGUUCUUUGGGAAUUUUAUAUAGCACUUAAUUAAUUCAGCUCUAUAAUAUGUUUAUAAAGAAAUCAUCGUUGCAUGCGAGCUUAGCUGCUGAAAUUUUUAACGCGCAUGUCUUUCAUCUCUCAGCUGUACCAAUAUGGAGCGACAGAUUAAUUACUGCAUACUUAAUACACACUGUUGGAAAUAUCAUUGAACGGAAUUUCAAGUUUACAUUUACAUUUAUGCACUUAGCAGACGCUUUUAUCCAAAGCGACUUACAAAUGAGAAAGAUACAAUCAAAGCGAUAUAUCAAGCAGAGAACAAUACAAUAAGUGCUACCAUACGAGAUCCAUUAAUUGAAUUCCAGAAGAAGCAAAGUGCAGAGUAGAGGUGUAAGUGCAAUUUUUUAUUUUAUUUAUUUAUUUUUUUAUGAGUUUGUUAGGUGUUCAUAGAAGAGGUGGGUCUUUAGUUGUUUUUUGAAGAUGGUGAGAGAUUCUGCGGUUCGGAUUGAGAUUGGAAGUGCAUUCCACCACUGAGGAACAGUCAGUGUGAAGGUUCUGGAAAGGGAACUUGCGCCACGCUGAGUUGGAACUGCUAAACGUCGGUCGCUAAUCGAUC